rnacentral:lncRNA from 1 species
AUUGAUAGGUCCCAAGACCUUCCAAAUGCAAUUUCUUCUCCAUGUACCACUGCAUAGCACAGCAACACUGGGCUCACUCACAAGCUGGGUGCUCCCUACUUCAGAUCAGCCUUCCAUAACUGGGAGUUCUAGCCUGUGCUGUGGUGAAAGUGUCAAAUUACUGCAAUGCUUGAACUUCUUAAAUAGCUGAAAGACCAAAUAUUGAAUCUGCAAAAUUAGUAGUAAUGUAGUAUUUGACUUCUAGUGCAAGGAGACAAAGUUUACCUCCAUUUCUGACCCUCAUAUGAUCUUGUGUAAGCUAUUCAACCUCUCUUGUGAAGUAUGAAGAUAAAAAUGGCAUGAUGUUACUGAAAGUGUUUAGUAGAUUAUAAAGUGCUACAUGAAGGAACAGUAUCAUGGUAAUGCAGGCGACUGGUCUGAUAAGUAACUAUGUUAAACUCCAAAGCAUUUCCCACCAAUUCUCAGAGGUCUAUUUUCUCAGAGUUAUUUCUGGCCUUCUCCUACUGCUUCCUCUAGAUUCCAUAUCUGUAUCAUUUCAGGUGCUCUACUUGCUGUUAGUCAGCUUUUCAUCACUGACUAAACACCUGAGAAAAACAAUUUGAAAAAGGAAAGAUUUAUUUUGGCUCAUUGUUUCAGAGGUUUCAGUGCAUGGUGGGCUGGCUCCAAUGCGGAAACAUCAUGGCAGAAGGGUGUUGUAGAGGAGAGCUGCCCACCUUACAGUACCCAGGAAGCAGAGUGAGAGGAACAGAGCCCAAGGAGAGAUACAUCCUUCAAUGGAUUAACCCAUUGAUGAGGUCAGGGCCUUCAUAAUCCAGGCAUCCCUGUAGGCCACACCUCUAAACAUUGCUGCAUUGGGAAUCAAGUGGCCAAUUGAUAAGUCUUUAAGGGACAUUUCAUAUUUAAACCAUAACUGUACUCCAAAUAUAUGUGAAUCUGCAUGUGGAAUGUGUGCCCACUCCUCAAGUCCCACCCAUAAAACUUCACAUAAGGCCUGUGCUUAUGGAAAACUUUAGUAAGAGUUUUGAGGAGGCAGACUAGGUUUACAUAACAGAAACUCCAAAUAAGUUAAAACUGAGGCUAAGUCUCACCUGCUUGAAAAUUCCUUUGGCCUUUCUACCAUCUAAGUAAAGUUCUCCUGGCUGUACUCUAAGAGAUUUUCUUCUCACAAACCAGAAAUGUAGCACAACUGUAGCAAAGAUUGUACAUACCCCCAGUACUCUCCCCUAGCACUGAUCACCCACAUGAUCCCAUCCUGCAUGCAUGGGGGAGACUUCUUGCUGUGGGCAAUGGGCCAUGGUGCCAGGAAACUGAUGUUCUCAGGGAGCAGCCCUCAGCAGUGAUAGAUGGGGUGAAGGACAAAAUCUUCCUCACUCCUGAAUCUUCCAGGAGUGGAAGAACCUUCCUCACCCCUGGAGGUGGGGGAAGGUGGAGGAAAGGAGUCACUUUGAGGUAUUUUCUAUCCUUAUCUACCAGAUUUCCCCAGUGGAACUGGCUCCAAUUGCCCACAGUGGCAAUCUACUUCAUAAUGCACAGAAAUUGGCUCCCAGGCCUGUCCCUACUCCCCCAUCCCCUCAAUCCUGGCCCUAGAGCUUCCUAGAUUCAUCCCUCAAAUAAACUACUUCUAGUCAAAUCUUUGUUUUAGCUAUUGCUGUGGUUGAAUUGUGUUUCUACCCCUAAAAAAGUUGAAGUCUUAAUCCCUGGCACCUGUGAAUAUGACCUUAGGAGGAAAAAGGGACUUCACAGAUCUACAUAAUGAAGUUAAGCUGAGCUCCUCCAUUAUAAGGGUGGGCUCUGAUCCAGUAUGAUUGGUGUCCUUAUAAUAAGAGUAGAGUGAACAUACAUGAAGAGGAGAAUCCACGUGAAGAGACCACAGGCAGAGGAAGAGCCACGAGACAACAGAAGCCAAGUAUCUACAAACCAAGAAAUAACAAGGAUUUCUGGUGACUCAAGAAGCUAAGAAAAAGGUGGGGGCUUGCUGUGUUUGCUAGGCUGGUCUUGAACUUGUGGGCUCAAGUGAUCUUCCUGCGUCAGCCUCUCAAGUAGCUGGGACUACAGGCCCAUGAAGUAUGCUGCUGGGAUUUCAAUUGGGAUCACAUUGAAUCUAUGUAGCAAUUUUGAUGUUCAACAUUCCAAAGACUGCCUUACAAUUGGCAUUUUGGAAUUGUUUGAGAUGAAAAGAGCUUCUCUCCAUUUAUGAGUGUUCCUCAGACCUGCUAUGUCAAAGAAUUCUGCUGCUCUGGAUUCAGGAAUAUUAAGAAGGAGUGCUUACAGACUUCAUCUAGAAGUUGAAUUUUCCUACAUUCCAUCACAGGUUCGUGGUACAGGACACAGAAGCAUAGCUGCCAAUCUGACGACUGCCAAGUGGUGUUGCUUGGAGGAGGCCUAGAUGGAGUGACCAGAUGAGUCUCUCCAGUCUUCCUAACCAAUGAUCCUAUUUUAUUUUGAUUUUGCUGCCUUCAAUUAUGUCACUGUUCAAUUAUGUCACAUUUUGCUAUGCCAAAAUGCUAUGUAAAGCUAUCCUUUGCUGGUGUGGGUUAUUUCUGGAAGUUGAGUUGCUGGCGCUCCUCACAGGGCUCCAGGCUGCAACUUCCUCCGGAGUCCACCAGCAGAAACCACCAGCUGGAGCUCCAGGUUGGUGGCUUUUGAAAGGCCUCAACCAAAUUGAAUUCCAUAGUUUCUUAGGAGUAAUGUCUCUCCAGAGACAUUGAGACAAAUAGCAUUUUCUGUGUCUACUAUGAAAUCAUUGGGUUUUUGGAAGACAACAGUGUUACUGGUGGUCAGUUUGGUGACUUUCACUUGUAUAAACUUGUGCCAUAGGAGUCCUCCUGCAGGGCGACUGCCUGGUUGGUGGGGCUCACUCCUUUCUGAGGGGGCCAACCAACAGAACCUUGCUGGGGUUUUCUCAAAGCCAAGUCAUUGGGUUUGUGCUUGGGUGAAAUAUUAUGUUGUGCUCUAUCAGCUCUAUAUCUGAGUGUAGAUCGAAUAUGCUUUCUCUCAGUCCAUUCACGUGGAAUGUUUUUCAUGUUUCUAUUCUUCUGACUCCUAAAAACAUGGAAAUAAAAGUCAUAUAGGAGUCUUAUCUUUUAUUUACUUAUUAAACAAAUAACUACAUAGGCACCUCUUAUAAAUAAAUAAAUAAGCUCUGAGCUCCUUUGAGAGAUCAUUCAAGGCCAGGUGUGGAGACCAGCUACCCUCAGUCAGUGUGAGCCUGAGGCUGGCAAGUCCACACCAGCCUCUCCUGUCUGCCAACCCAGAAACAGGAUCCCAUGGAUACUCAGCCCAUCUUCCUUGGACGUCUUCCACUCCAUCUUGUCUUUAACUUUCUUGGC